rnacentral:rRNA from 1 species
AAUACGUAGGGUGCGAGCGUUGUCCGGAAUUACUGGGCGUAAAGAGCUCGUAGGCGGUUUGUCACGUCGUCUGUGAAAUCCUAGGGCUUAACCCUGGACGUGCAGGCGAUACGGGCUGACUUGAGUACUACAGGGGAGACUGGAAUUUCUGGUGUAGCGGUGGAAUGCACAGAUAUCAGGAAGAACACCGAUGGCGAAGGCAGGUCUCUGGGUAGUAACUGACGCUGAGGAGCGAAAGCAUGGGUAGCGAACAG